GCCGGGCGUGGUAGCGCGCGCCUGUAAUCCCAGCUACUCGGGAGGCUGAGGCAGGAGAAUUGCUUGAACCCGGGAGGCAGAGGUUGCAGUGAGCUGAGAUUGUGCCACUGCACUCCAGCCUGGGUGACAGAGUGAGACUCCGUCUCAA
rnacentral:SRP_RNA from 1 species